rnacentral:rRNA from 1 species
CUCAGGAUGAACGCUGGCGGCGUGCUUAACACAUGCAAGUCGAACGAAGAAGAGUUGAAUGAGAGCUUCGGCAGGAUUUCUUCUCAUCUUAGUGGCGACGGGUGAGUAACGUGUGGGCAACCUGCCCUAUACUGGGGAAUAAUCACUGGAAACGGUGACUAAUACCGCAUGUCAUCACCGGAGGGCAUCCUCUGGUAGAAAAAAGGAGUAAUUCGGUAUAGGAUGGGCCCGCAUCUGAUUAGCUAGUUGGUGAGAUAACAGCCCACCAAGGCGACGAUCAGUAGCCGACCUGAGAGGGUGAUCGGCCACAUUGGGACUGAGACACGGCCCAAACUCCUACGGGAGGCAGCAGUGGGGAAUAUUGCACAAUGGGGGAAACCCUGAUGCAGCAACGCCGCGUGAAGGAUGAAGGUUUUCGGAUCGUAAACUUCUAUCAACAGGGAAGAAACAAAUGACGGUACCUGAAUAAGAAGCCCCGGCUAACUACGUG